UAUAUGCUUCCCCUUUCCCUUUCCCUUUUUUUUCUCUCGGAACCCUAGCACCGCCAUGGAGGCGGUGGACACGCUACUACGUCACCUUGCCAUUUGUGGCAAAUUUCAGACGUACCAUGCUUUCGCAGGUAGGCAGAGAGAUGGAUCAGACCCGUAGGUGUUCUAUCAGCGGAUUCUCAGGAGCACUCCACUUACUUCAGAGCUGCUGUCUAUUUGGUAUUGGGCCUUAUGAUCAUUAUUCUAUGUAGAGGCUCGUAGACGUGUGUGUAUAGUUAGAAAUUUUAAAGCUCCACCAGGCCAUAUUAUUGAAUAAUAUAUUGGUAGCUUUGUCGGCUGGUGAUGACGACCAUAAUUGUUGAUGAUGAUAUAGAGAUGCACCAUUAUGUUAUGGUAUGUGUCCUUACAGGUUAUGACAACCAUGAGCUACCUUUAGGGUCCACCCAGAAAUGAUUAUGAGAUGUAUGCUUAGAGGUACUCAGUAGGUUAGCUCCGGGUGCCCGUCAUGACCCUCUGGUUGGGUCGUGACAAUAUCUCCCAUGUGAAUUAAGGUUUUGCUUUUUGUUUCAAUCAAUGUACAAUUGUGCCUGGUUUUGUUGGUCUUAAUGUGUUGAACUUCAUUUGCCCA